rnacentral:rRNA from 1 species
UACAGAGGUCCUAAGCGUUGUUCGGAUUCACUGGGCGUAAAGGGUGCGUAGGCGGUCGGGUAAGUCUGAUGUGAAGUCUCACAGCUUAACUGUGAAACUGCAUUGGAUACUAUCCGGCUCGAGGAAUGGAGGGGAGACUGGAAUACUUGGUGUAGCAGUGAAAUGCGUAGAUAUCAAGUGGAACACCAGUGGCGAAGGCGAGUCUCUGGACAUUUCCUGACGCUGAGGCACGAAAGCCAGGGGAGCAAACGGG